CUCGUAUUGUAAGUUCUAAGCAUCUUGAAAAAAUAAUAAUUCUGGUGUGAAGACCUCAGUCAUGUUUACAAAUACACAAACACAGCCCAGCCUUUGGCUUGCUCCCAAAGCAGCACGUCCCCACAACUGGCUUGUGUUCAAGACUUGGCGUUGCCUCCCCAGAGUCAUUGUAAGUCAAAGCAGAAGCCCAGAAUAUGACAUAACACAGUUUUUUUGCGCAAUAUUUUCAUGCACUUUGAGGUACAGCAGAGCAAGGCUGGUAGUGUUGUCCCCAUUACUUCAGUUACAAAAAUAUUAUGCUCUGCCCUGCAUUGAACCUUGAAUAGUUUGUUUAAGAGAUGAGCACUAACGUUUGCCUUCCCACCACCACCAAAUGAUUGGCUGAAGUGCCUGGAUGGCUUUUAUGCCCAAUUCAUUAUGGAGAGUGGGAGAGAGAGACCCUUACUGGUACUGGCCUGCGUGUAGAUGCUUCUCCAGGUCCAUAUAAGCUUACUGUUUAGUCAUUCUUUAUGUGAUGAAGAUAUGUAUUCCACCACUGGCUUAAUGAGAGUUUGGAGUGUGUGUGUGCGCGUUGUGAAUUUGGGGGGGGGGUGCCCCUAACAACACAGCUUAGUAGUUUUGUAGUCACUGGCAGUUAGGCCCAGGCAGGCGUCAGAAGAAGCCAAGCUAUGGUUCGGCCUUCUUCAGCUGCCUGGCUGAUGCGUUAUUACAGAAUCCAGCUGACUACUGCAUUUCCUACAUUGCAUUACCAGCUUUUGACAUGGAUGUUAGCUGCAGCUAGGAUUUCAGUAGCCAAGCAAUGGAAAACCUUGGGGGGAAAUCUACAUUUGUUUUUGUGGUGUAAGAACUUGUGGACUUCAACUAUUGCAGAGGGAAAAAAUGCACAUGAACUGCAUUAGGAUCCAGAAUGCUUUUAUGUUAUCUGAUGGGAUUUUAUUUCCCAUACUUCAGGCUUAAAUGCUCAGCAGUCACCAUCCACACAUGAACUCCAGGGCGGUGUACAUUAGAAUAAAAUAUAUUUGCAAUAUUAAAACAUAGGAUUGAAAAUACUUUAUCAAAGUAAUUACUUUUGAAAAAAACAAUAAACCAAAAACCAGCUAAAAUAACACAAUAGAUUUAAAAUCAGUUUAAUGGGCUCUUAAAAGGUUCCUCUGCAAGAAUAUUUCAGUUCUCUCAUCUGUCAUAAAACUGGGACUAUAGAUAAAUAGAAUUGCUAUUUUUGAGUGUGGACUGUGCCUCUUCAGCAAUGGCUUCCGUUUCCCAGAGCUCCCAUGCAGACUGCUGGUGUACCAGGUAGAGUCUGUGUUCAGUUGUUUGUGGAUUAUGGGUAUUGAUUUCACUAGCCUAAUUUCAUGAGUGUACUGAGAAAGCUCCAGUUAGACAUGACCUAAAGGACACUUGGACCUCUCACAAUUAUGCAAUCACUUGUGUUGUUAACAGUGCCUUUGCUCUUGCUUAACCAUUAUAGUGUUUUCUAACAGUUCCCCACUGGAAGAAGCUCAACAGAAGCUUUUGGCAUUACUCCCUCUCCAUGCUGAGCAAAGAUAUGGCCUGCUGAACGUCUGGCUGAUAUGUGACCCUUGAAAACACAGGAAAGUUGAGUGGGGUGACAGCCUCAGUGUUCGCUGAUCACCAAAGUCAGCUUUUAAAGAGCAAGAAGACUCCAAGCAAUUUCUUAUCUACUCGUUCAAAUCAGUGCAAAUAUUUCCUGUACAAAUACAUUGCAUUUAUGCAGGAAGUAGCCACAGAAAACCAAGGGCAUGUCAGAAACACCAAGCAGAAAGAAGCAGCUGCAGGAGGGGAAGAACUAGGGAGAAUUCAGAGCAAUUCCUUCUGCGAGACUAGAAGAUCUAUAGAGUCACAGAGCUGGAAGGGACCACGAGGGUCGUCUAGUCCAACCCCUGAAAUGCAGGAAUCUUUUGCAAAAUUAUUUCUGGUGUGGAAAUGGGAAAGUGCCAAUACAG